rnacentral:lncRNA from 1 species
AGCACCUCGGAGCUCCGACCCCCAAGUUCUCCUCCACAGCCACGGCCUGCGUUGCACCCCGGCUCACCUUUUCGUCCCACCCACCACCACCCCCCCUCGCCGUUCAGUGCUGUCCUGGGCGCUUGCAACCUGCCGGGUGAUUUAGCAGACUGCCCCCUGCUCCUGCUCUGGUUCCUGCUCCUGCUCCUGCUCCUGCUCCUGCUCCUGCUCCUCCUCCUCCUCCUCCUCCCAGCUCUCGCUCUCGCCUCCUCCUCCAGUCGGGGCGCCCAGACUUCGCGGAGCGCAGCGCCCGCCGCCCGCAGCGCGCAGGACCGCCCAGGCCGCCGCGCUCCAGGCUCCUGCUGGCCGCAGCCCGGGGGCACCGGCGCGGGCAAAGGACGCUCGGGGGCCAGAGCCAGACGCUGCGAGAAGCCGGGCUGUGAUAAGGCUCGGGACAGAAGCGAGCGCGUUCCGAGUGAGACUUCGGGAGCCAGCGGGGCGCCCCGGGUCACCCAGUGCGCCCGCUGCACGCACCGUCCACAAGAGUCCUGAUUUUGUUUGGAUAGCUCUGCCCUCCUCCCACUCCAACCCAGUGACUGAGGGAUAACAGACCUCACUGUCAAGUUGUUCCUGCUUCAUUGAAAGUAGUCAACAUAUGACAUUGCUUUGGCUCCUUUUGUAAGUAGAGAAGUCACAUGGUCUACAUUGGUCCAAUUAUAGUUGGGUGAAAGGGUUUCCUCUUGUUUAGGAUGUGAAUCAGAAUGUAUGUUGCAUCAGAUAGUGCUGGUAAGUAUUUUAUAGCCAUACGAGGUCUAAAUUCAACACUGUCACACUGA